GAUGAACGCUGACAGAAUGCUUAACACAUGCAAGUCAACUUGAAUUUGGGUUUUUAACUUAGGUUUUGGUGGCGACCGGGUGGGUAAGUCGUAAGGAACUUGCCUCCCAGUUAGGGACAGAAUUUGGAAAGAAAUGAAAAUACAUAACAUAUUACAACUAGGGACUCAAAUAUUAAUAAAGCCAUAAGCCGUUGUAGGAAACUUUGGCGUCCCUUUAGUUUAUUGGAGUGGUAACGCCUCACCAAGGCGAGGAUGGGUAGCCGACCUGCGAGGGUGAUCGGCCACAAGGGGACUGAGACACGGCCCUUACGCCUACGGGAGGCAGCAGUGGGGAAUAUUGGACAAUGGACCAAGAGUCUGAUCCAGCAAUUCUGUGUGCACGAUGAAGUUUUUCGGAAUGUAAAGUGCUUUCAGUUGAGAAGAAAGAAAUGACGGUACCAACAGAAGAAGUGACGGCUAAAUACGUG
rnacentral:rRNA from 1 species